GUGCUCGCUUCGGCAGCACAUAUACUAAAAUUGGAACGAUACAGAGAAGAUUAGCAUGGCCUAUGCACAAAAAAAGACAACAAAAUGAUUUGGACUCCUUGGCAGGUUUU